AGAGUUUGAUCAUGGCUCAGGACGAACGCUGGCGGCGUGCCUAAUACAUGCAAGUCGAGCGGAGUCAUUUUGAAAGCUUGCUUUCAAAAUGACUUAGCGGCGGACGGGUGAGUAACACGUAGGCAACCUGCCCUUCAGACUGGGAUAACUACCGGAAACGGUAGCUAAUACCGGAUAAUUUCUUUUUUCUCCUGAGAGAAGAAUGAAAGACGGAGCAAUCUGUCACUGAGGGAUGGGCCUGCGGCGCAUUAGCUAGUUGGUGGGGUAACGGCCCACCAAGGCGACGAUGCGUAGCCGACCUGAGAGGGUGAACGGCCACACUGGGACUGAGACACGGCCCAGACUCCUACGGGAGGCAGCAGUAGGGAAUCUUCCGCAAUGGGCGAAAGCCUGACGGAGCAACGCCGCGUGAGUGAUGAAGGUUUUCGGAUCGUAAAGCUCUGUUGCCAGGGAAGAACGUCCGGUAGAGUAACUGCUACCGGAGUGACGGUACCUGACGAGAAAGCCACGGCUAACUACGUGCCAGCAGCCGCGGUAAUACGUAGGUGGCAAGCGUUGUCCGGAAUUAUUGGGCGUAAAGCGCGCGCAGGCGGUUUCUUAAGUCUGAUGUGAAAGCCCACGGCUCAACCGUGGAGGGUCAUUGGAAACUGGGGAACUUGAGUGCAGAAGAGGAGAGUGGAAUUCCACGUGUAGCGGUGAAAUGCGUAGAGAUGUGGAGGAACACCAGUGGCGAAGGCGACUCUCUAGUCUGUAACUGACGCUGAGGCGCGAAAGCAUGGGGAGCGAACAGGAUUAGAUACCCUGGUAGU
rnacentral:rRNA from 1 species